rnacentral:rRNA from 1 species
UACGGAGGGGACUAGCGUUGUUCGGAAUUACUGGGCGUAAAGCGCACGUAGGCGGAUUUGUAAGUCAGGGGUGAAAUCCCGGGGCUCAACCUCGGAACUGCCUUUGAUACUGCAAGUCUUGAGUCCGGAAGAGGUGAGUGGAAUUCCUAGUGUAGAGGUGAAAUUCGUAGAUAUUAGGAAGAACACCGGUGGCGAAGGCGGCCAACUGGACCACAACUGACGCUGAGGCGCGAAAGCGUGGGGAGCAAACAGG